rnacentral:tRNA from 1 species
AUUUCCAAAGUGUAGUGGUCAUCAUGUCUGCUUUACAGGCAGAAAGUCCUUGGUUCAAUCCCCCGUGGAACCA